UACGGAGGGUGCUAGCGUUGUUCGGAAUUACUGGGCGUAAAGGGCGCGUAGGCGGCCGUUUGCGUCGGAUGUGAAAGCCCGGGGCUUAACCCCGGGUCUGCAUUCGAUACGGGCUAGCUAGAGUGUGGUAGGGGAGAUCGGAAUUCCUGGUGUAGCGGUGAAAUGCGCAGAUAUCAGGAGGAACACCGGUGGCGAAGGCGGAUCUCUGGGCCAUUACUGACGCUGAGGAGCGAAAGCGUGGGGAGCGAACAGG
rnacentral:rRNA from 1 species